GGAUGUGAGGGCGAUCUGGCUGCGACAUCUGUCACCCCAUUGAUCGCCAGGGUUGAUUCGGCUGAUCUGGCUGGCUAGGCGGGUGUCCCCCUCCUCCCUCACCGAUCCAUGUGCGUCCCUCCCGAAGCUGUGCGCUCGGUCGAAGAGGACAACCUUCCCCCCCGAGGAGAGGACCGGUCUUCGGUCAAGGGUAUACGAGUAGCUGCGCUCCCCUGCUAGAACCUCCAAACAAGCUCUCAAGAACGUCUUCUUGGUUACAUCCUUGGACAUUUUAAAAAAUAUUAUUUUUAUUGAUUUCUGAAGAGAGAAAGGGAGAGGGAGAGAGAGAAACAUCAAUGCAAGAGUGAAGCAUUGAU
rnacentral:snRNA from 1 species